rnacentral:rRNA from 1 species
CGCGCAGGCGGCCAGGUCAGUCGAAUGUGAAAGCCCCCGGCUCAACUGGGGAAGGUCGUUCGAUACUGCCUGGCUCGAAGAUAGGAGAGGGAAGUGGAAUUUCAGGUGUAGUGGUGAAAUGCGUAGAUAUCUGAAGGAACACCAGUGGCGAAGGCGACUUUCUGGCCUAUUCUUGACGCUGAGGCGCGAAAGCUAGGGAGCGAAC